UACGUAGGGGGCAAGCGUUGUCCGGAUUUAUUGGGCGUAAAGAGCGUGUAGGCGGCCAGGUAGGUCUGCUGUGAAAACUCGAGGCUCGACCUCGAGAUGUCGGCGGAAACCAGUCUGGCUAGAGUCCGGAAGAGGAAAGUGGAAUUCCCGGUGGUAGUGGUGAAAUGCGUAGAUAUCGGGAGGAACACCAGUGGCGAAGGC
rnacentral:rRNA from 1 species